rnacentral:piRNA from 1 species
UGUUUCUCAGAAUUUGGCUGUACCCCA